rnacentral:rRNA from 1 species
UACGUAGGGUGCGAGCGUUGCCCGGAAUUAUUGGGCGUAAAGGGCUCGUAGGCGGUUUGUCGCGUCGGGAGUGAAAACUCAGGGCUUAACCCUGAGCCUGCUUCCGAUACGGGCAGACUAGAGGUAUGCAGGGGAGAACGGAAUUCCUGGUGUAGCGGUGAAAUGCGCAGAUAUCGGGAGGAACACCGGUGGCGAAGGCGGUUCUCUGGGCAUUACCUGACGCUGAGACGCGAAAGCGUGGGGAGCAAACAGG